rnacentral:pre_miRNA from 1 species
AUUCUACUCCCUCCAUUCGAAAAUACUUGUCAUCAAAAUGGACAAAAAGGGAUGUAUCUAAAACUAAAAUACAUUUAGAUACAUCCCUUUUAUCCAUUUUGAUGACAAGUAUUUCCGGACGGAAGGAGUAUAUA